rnacentral:miRNA from 1 species
UGAACAAUGCCCACCCUUCGUC